rnacentral:lncRNA from 1 species
CAGACGUUCAUCAGCGUCACCAUCAUCGCCUUCAUCCCGGUGUACGACCGGGCGUUCGUGCCCGUGGCGCGGCGGUUCACGCGCGCGUCCUCGGGGAUCACCAUGCUGCAGCGGAUCGGCACGGGCCUCGUGCUGGCGCUCGCCGCCAUGGUCGUCGCGGCGCUGGUGGAGGCGAGGCGGCUCGGCGUCGCCAGGGACGCCGGCAUGGUGGACGACCCCAAGGCGGCGCUGCCGAUGAGCCUGUGGUGGAUGGUGCCGCAGUACGUGCUGUUCGGGCUCUCCGACGUGUUCGCCAUGAUCGGCCUCCAGGAGUUCUUCUACGACCAGGUCCCCGACGCGCUGCGCAGCCUGGGGCUCGCCUUCUUCCUCAGCAUAUUCGGGGUGGGUCACUUCUUCAGCAGCUUCAUCAUCUCCGCCAUUGACGGCGCCACCAAGAAGAGCGGGGCGAGCUGGUUCGCCAACAACCUCAACCGCGCCCACCUCGACUACUUCUACUGGCUCCUCGCCGGCCUCUGCGCCGUCGAGCUCGUCGCGUUCGUGUUCGUGUCGCGCGUUUACGUGUAUAAGAAGAGGGUUCCUCACAACGGUUGUGAUGUCAUGUAGAAGUAGAGGUUAGCUAGCUAAUUCUUGUGCAUGUUCUUGUGAAAUCUGAAAAUGUUUGUACAGGUGAUUAAAUCCUAGAAAGUGAAUAAAACCUUGAUACUUAAGCUCUGAUUCCUGUGAAAAGAUCUACUAACCAUUAGUAGUACCUUUGACUGAACCAUGUGUAAAGACUAAAGAUUUAACCAUUAUCUUGUACAAAUUCUCUGUAGAGAAAUCGAUUUUUUUUCCUGCUAUGUUUACUGAUUGCUAACGUGUCCAUUUUUAUUUCGAUGCCUGAACGAUUGAAUGGAGUGCAUGUGCGCGUACCAAGAUGGUUGUGGUUUGUGGACGUCUUCACUUUCUCUUUUCUGGUGGGAAAUUGUCCAUUCGAAGCUGCUACUCCAGUAGUUUGCUUUCUAUGCCCUUUGCUGCAAAUGGCGACCUGCCAUUGUUGGGUGGUGCUGCACUGCUGCUAUGGGUGAAGCUUUUCUGUUCCGUUAGUCUGCACCUUCGGCUUCGGUAGCAGACUUUCCAGCGCGUUGUCGCCUUUGAUCGCGACUCGUGAGGCCUCAAAGGCCGCGGCGCAAAAUGCGAUCUCCGAUGCUUGCUUUUGAUCUGCAGCCUGAACCAACCACGUUUAACCAUACAGUGGCACACGUACUGAAGCAAGCUGAUUCAAACACACUCCGUUCUACCAACUGUUUGUUAGGCAACUUGGCAUCUUCAUAUUCCUCUCCUGCCUGUGCCGAAUGAUCAGCUCUGCUACUUUCUUAAUUACCUUCUGAAGUUUGUCAUGAGAUGUUGAGUUUUUUUCAAAAUUUGGUUUCCGUUCUAACUGUUUGCUCGGCUGGUUAAGAACGUUGGCAGCUUAGCAUCUUUGUACUCCCCUUCUAUCUGUGCCGAACUAUCAUCAGUUCAGCACUGCUACUUCCUUACCUACUGAAGUUUGUGAUGAUACGUUGAUUUUCAGAAUUUGAUGCGUGCAGGGUAGGAGUAGGAGAUGCAAUGCAUAUCUUUUGCUCAUAGUUGACUCACUGACUAGCCAUUGGGCUGUAGCUGUGCAUAGUGGGAUCGAUCGGUCCGUAUUCGGCUAGCCGGCCUAUAUACGCAUAUAAAAAGGAGCUAGAUUCGUCACUUUUGUUGCAGAUCAGCAUGAACAGUGCGCACAAGACGGUGCUGGUGUACGCAAUUCUUCCUUGUGUUCGUACAUUAUUCAACUGUGCUAACACAUGGACCUAGCUUGUGAUGGAUACUCCGGUGCUGUCCUUUUGCUCUCUCGUGUAUAAAGUGAUGAAGAUGUUCUCUCUUGCAAGGGAAAGUUGUAUUUGUAUGGGUCAAUUUGAUCAUUGCUAUUGCAAAUUUAUGGUAUUUAAAAUAUUAUUGUUAUUCACCUAUUUCUAACCAUGUCAUUUUCCAAUACAACUAAAUUGUAUUCGUGCCAUGUUAUACGCAUCAGACAUGCUUUGGACAUAAUAUCCAAUCUAUAUGUGGAACACACCCGUCCCGUCAGUCCCUCUUCUUUCUCACCCUUCCUCUUCUCUCUUCCUCACUGUCAGUUCCCUUCCAUCUUAUUCCUCACGGAUGCUCAGAGACAAUGGCGGCAUGUGGCGACAAGGCGAGACAACGACGACCUUGUUAGUGGGAGAGGCGGAGGUUGAGGAAGGUGCAUUGUUAGGGCGAGGAGCAGGAACUACGAGAUGUCAAUGGUCUCGUUAAGCUUAUCUUCGCAAGCAUCGUGGAUGAGGAGGCACUGGAUCUAACGUGGAGCUUAUCAACGUGAUCCUGCACCAGCGCCGGACAACCACACCCUCGCCCAGCUCGACCCGUUGGCAUCAUCAACGAGCCAUCACUCGCACCCUUGUUGUCAAAUGGUCCACAAGUGCUACUGCUGCUCCUCUCCGCUGCCUCCUCCCAGUCAUGUUGCUCAUUCUCGAGUUGUCAAAGGGUUCCGAGUAUCUAAGUCACCAGAGCAUGACCUCCAACUCCCCACCGGGAACUCGUCAUUAGUGUCUUCCAAAGAGGGCGAUAAUGUCACGAGAACGACUAGGAGAUGAGUGGGAUGAGGAACAUAGGAAGGGGGAUGAUGCGUGGGCCCACAUGUCAAUGAGGUGGGGAGAAAGAGUUAGCGGGAGCAUUUUGAUCCAUAUGCAAAGUUGCAAACACGGUAUAAAAAUACAUCUCAUGCUUAUAUAAUGGCAUACAUAAAAUAAUUUUAGUUGUAUUGAAAUCGUAUGGUUAGAAAAUAGGUAAAUAAACAUUUUCUUUCAACACCGCAAAAUUUACGAUGCGGUGCUGCUGAAAAACGUAUCCAGGACAGCUUGUUUCGUGGUCUGGUUGGCAACAGUUUCCUGUCCGUUGCUUUUCCAAAAGUUCAAAGAUCAAAGCAGCAAUAACGGCUCAUCUCAUCUCUAUACUAGUAAUCGCCUAGUCGCCGUCGGUAUUGAUUCGCGGGAAGAACCUAUCCUCUUCGAAGCCGUGAAAUCUCAGCCGUCCAUCCAUGAUCCACCGGCCCGCAUCACCAGAAGCCUGUCCUAAAUGCACGAUAGGGAACCGUGCUCCGCACGUGGCGACUCUCGUCCGUACACGCCGCGACACGGGCCACGCGUGCGUGACACGUGCCCCGCUGCAUUAGCGUAAGACAGGGGUUGAUUAGCAAGAGCGUCCUAAUUCGAGGGGGUUUUGUACGAUAAUUUUCAACUAGGAUUGCAAGAUCGGGUAAAUUUGGGAAGAGUAGAGGGGGUUUUAGGGAAGGUGAUUAGCAGUAAUUUCAGAGUUAAGAAAGGGGGAUUACAUCUGCCUAAGCAGCCGCGUGUCGAUUUCGGUUUCGUAUAAAGCCCUAACAAGCUGUACCAUGGCCGAUCACCGGAGCAAGCUGGUGUCUCACCUCUUGGACUCCGGCAUGGCGGACACCGUCGCCGGAGCCGUCGAUUACCGUGGCCGGCCGGCCUCCCGCGCCGCCACCGGCGGCUGGAAGUCGUCGGUGUUCGUCAUGGGUAUGCUUAAAUCUUCCUUGUUUUUUAGUGAUUUGAGCGAUUGGAUGAAUGUGUCGAUGAUGAUCUUGUGUUUGUGUUGGUGCGUGCAGCCAUGGAGAUCGCGGAGAGGUUCGCGUACAAGGGCGUGGCGGCGAACCUGAUCACGUACCUGACCGGGCCGCUGGGGCAGCCGAUGGCGCGCGCCGCCGCGUCCAUCGACGCGUGGAAGGGCGUCUCCCAGAUGCUGCCGCUGCCGCUCGCCUGCGUCGCCGACGCCUGGCUCGGCCGCUACCGCGCCAUCGUCCUCGCCUCCGUCAUCUUCGUCCUGGUCGGUGCAAUCUCCUUCGGUUCUUCUUCCCAACCAUGGCGCGUACACUGAGAAUUAAUUGUUUCCAUGGAUGCAGAGCAUGGGCACGCUGUCGAUGUCGUCGGCGUUCCCGGUGUCGCGCGCCGGCCACGUCGCCGUCUUCUACGUGGCGCUGUACAUGGUGGCGCUGGGCGAGGGCGCGCACAAGCCGUGCGCGCAGGCGUUCGCGGCGGACCAGUUCGACGAGAAGGACGGCGGGGAGUGCGCCGCCCGGAGCUCCUUCUUCAACUGGUGGUACUUCGGCAUGUGCGCCGGCACCGCCGUCACCACCAUGGUGUCCAGCUACGUGCAGGACAACGUCGGCUGGGGCCUCGGCUUCGGCAUCCCCUGCAUCGUCAUCGUCGUCUCCCUCGCCGCGUUCCUCCUCGGCACCCGCUCGUACAGGUUCUACACAGCCAGGACGGCCAGCCCCGUCGCCCGCGUCGCCAAGGCGUUCUUGACAUUGAUCAAGAGCUGGAGAUCAAACCGUCGCACCAAGUGCGUAAAGAAGAAUAGUUCGAUCGAUUUUAGUAGUGUUUUUCUUUGUGUGUUUUGACUGUUUGUGCAUGUCCUGAUGUGAGACGGUGGAUGCAGUCCGGCGAGCGGCGGCAAAGGAGACGGCGACGGCGACGCCGGUGACCUCGUGGAGGAGGUGAAGAGCGUGCUCCGGCUGCUGCCGAUAUGGGCGUCGUGCAUAAUCUACGCGAUAAUCUUCUCCCAGACGUCGACGUUCUUCACCAAGCAGGCGGCGACGCUGGACCGGCGGAUCGGCCGGAGCUUCAACGUGCCGCCGGCGGCGCUGCAGACGUUCAUCAGCGUCAGCAUCGUCGUCUUCAUCCCGGUGUACGACCGCCUCUUCGUGCCGCUCGCCCGCCGCUACACGGGGAGGCCGUCGGGGAUCACCAUGCUGCAGAGGGUGGGCGCCGGCCUCGCCCUCUCCCUCGUCGCCGUCGUCCUGUCCGCGCUCGUGGAGACGCGGCGCCUCCGCGUCGCCGCCGGCGCCGGCAUGGCGGACGCCCCCAAGGCGCGGCUCCCGAUGAGCCUGUGGUGGAUGGUGCCGCAGUACGUUCUCGUCGGCGUCGCCGACGUGUUCGCCAUGAUCGGCCUGCAGGAGUUCUUCUACGACCAGGUCCCCGACGCCGUGCGCAGCCUCGGCCUCGCGCUGUUCCUCAGCAUCUUCGGCGUCGGCCACCUCCUCAGCAGCCUCCUCAUCUCGGUGAUCGACGGCGCGACGGCGAGGCGCGCCGGCGGCAGCUGGUUCGCCAACAACCUCAACCGCGCCCACCUCGACUACUUCUACUGGCUCCUCGCCGGCCUCUGUGCCGUCGAGCUCGUCGCCUUCUUCCUCUUCUCGCGGGUGUACACCUACAAGAAGAAGGGCAACGAUGCUGAUGGCAAUUGUGAUUACAGGGGAGUUGAUGAUGAUGGCAUCUGCGUGUAAACCUCCGAUUUGUGCUCUGUUGCUUCAUUGCUCGCGAGUGUACACAAAAAAAUCUCGAAUUGUUGUAGUGCGUUAUCAUAUACUCUGAUGAUCAAGUGAUCAGUAAUCAGAGCAAAGAUGGCGAGCUGAUGAGCAUGGUGGACCGAGGUGAACAAAAUUCAUCGGAUGGGCCUGCGAACACAUUCUCUUCAUGUUGUUGAACAAUAUUCCCUCCAGUUUCAUUUUAAUUGACGUUUUGAACAAUGACACGGACUACAAAAUAUAUCUUUGACCUUAUUUUUCUAUUAUAAUAUAUACAAUGAAUAAAUGCAUGUUUAUUUUUAUUAUAGUGCUUCUAUAUACGUUGUUAUUAGUUUCUUUAAACUAAAUAUUUUUAAAGUUAUUAAUAGUCAAAGUUAUAAAAGUUUGACCACAACCUUAUCUAAAACGUCAAUUAUUAUAGAACCGGAGGAAGUAUUACAAUAUGCAUUUAAAAAUACAAACAAUGACGAUAGAAAUAGUCUUAAUAAACUAUCGAAGUGACUAUACCAAAUAUCAACCAAAUCUUAGCUUCGAACAAGCCUUGUUUUUAGUUUUUAGACUAUGGGCUGCCUAAGUGUGUAGGUGGUUAACCUGUGAAUUUACUUAUAAGUCAAAAUAGGUUGCGGACCUAUUUAUUUUAACAUGUAAGUUAGUAUGCGAAUUAUCUGUUUACACCUGACUGUCUAUACAAUUUUUAACAGAAAAUCCCAUUCCACAUAAUACAAAUUAUGAAAUGUUGGAUGUGCUUUAAGGUCCGUUCGCACAAUAACCUUAUCAUUUUCUCUUCCUCCCCCCAACCUUAUUGAUUGGCUGGAAAGUGUGAACAGCGCCGUUCUCGAGCCAGCCUCCUUCCCCUCUAUUCUCUUGGAGCAGGUACAAUAGCAGACUAUUAGCCAGCUGCAAACAUAUUUUAAUGAGAUAAAAGAUGAGAGAGAAGAGCAGCGGGCUACAAAUAUGUAGCCAGCUGCAGUACGGACUCUAAAACGCAAUAUGUGUAUGACAAAUGGGACCAUAUAUUAAUAGUAUAGUAAGUAACUAUUGUAUGAAUUGGCUAUUAGAUGAACUAUAGAUGAAUCGGAGCCAGUAGUGGGCUAUACUAUUAAAACUAGCAUGGUGGCCCGCGCAGAUUGCGCGGCUAGCAUCAUUAUAUUUUCUCACAUAUAAUAGCAUAUAUGUUUUCUCAUUAUAUUAUUCAAAUAUAUUAAAAUGAUAACAUAAUUUUAAAUUUUGCAAUAACUUUACAAAACUACUAAUGUGUAAUAUUCAUAUAUUUUAUAUAUGUGUUAGUUAUUAAUUAUUUUUAAUAUCAAAUUUUAGUUAUUUGUAAAUUAUAUAUAUAUAUAUAUAUAUAUAUAUAUAUAUAUAUAUUCCUAUAUGGACUCUAGACUCGUCUUUUAAUAUUUCUUUUUUUAAUUUCAAAUUUUCCGUAAAUUGUAUUUCUAUAUAGACUCUAUGCUCUUCUUCUAAUAUUAUUUAUUUUUAUUUCUGAAUUAUCAUAUUAUAUUUUUUAUACGUGUUAGUUAUUAAUUAUUUUUAAUAUCAAAUUUUAGUUAUUUGUAAAUUAUAUAUAUUCCUAUAUAGACUUUAGACUUGUCUUUUAAUAUUUCUUUUUUAAUUCCAAAUUUUCUGUAAAUUGUAUUUCUAUAUAGACUCUAUGCUCUUCUUUCAAUAUUAUUUAUUUUUAUUUCUGAAUUUUUAUUAUUUCUAAUUAUAAACUCAUCUUUCAAUAUUCUUCAAUUUUAAUUUCGAAUUAUAAUUACUUCUAAAUUGUAUUCCUAUAUUGACCUUAAACUCCUCUUCUUCCCAUGUUUUUCUUAAUUUUGAAUUUUAGUUAUUUAUAAAUUGUAUUUUUAUACGGACUCUAAACUCUACUUUUAAUUUUAUUAUGUUUAUUCCAAAUUUUAGUUAGUUUUAAAUUCCUAUAUGAACUCUAUACUCUACUUCUAAUAUUCCUUAUUUUUAAUUCUGAAUUUCUAUUAUUUCCUAAUUGUAUUUCUAUAUGGACUCUAUACACUACUUCUAAUAUUCCUUAUUUUUAAUUCCGAAUUUCUAUUAUUUCCUAAUUGUAUUUCUAUAUGGACUCUAUACUCUACUUCUAAUAUUCCUUAUUUUUAAUUCCGAAUUUCAGAUAUUUCCUAAUUGUAUUUCUAUAUGGACUCUAUACUCUACUUCUAAUAUUCCUUAUUUUUAAUUCCGAAUUUCAGAUAUUUCCUAAUUGUAUUUCUAUAUGGACUCUAUACUCUACUUCUAAUAUUCCUUAUUUUUAAUUCCGAAUUUCAGUUAUUUCCUAAUUGUAUUUCUAUAUGUACUCUAUACUCUACUUCUAAUAUUUCUUAUUUUUAAUUCCGAAUUUCAUUUAUUUCCUAAUUGUAUUUCUAUAUGGACUCUAGAGGAGAGACUCUAGUCUCCUCUUUUAAUAUUACUUAUUUUUUAAUUCCGGAUUUCAGUUACUUCUAAAUUGUAUUUCUAUAUGGACUCUGGUCUCCUCUUCUAAUAUUACUUAUUUUUUAAUUUUGAAUUUAAGCUAUUUUUAAAUUGUAUUUCUAUAUGGACUCUGCUUUUUCUUUUUCUCUGAUUAAUGUGAGAAUUUCUAGACUCCUUUUUCUAUUCGUUUAAUAAAAUAAUAGAUAGAUUGCUCUAACUCAAGCCGUCGGCGGCAAGAUGCCCCGCCACGCUAUUUCUUCCAUCUUAGGUGGCUCCCCGCCACUGACACCAGCCUACGGCUCUGGCACCAACACUGACACCUCGAUGCUCAUGGCUCGCCUAUGCCAAUCGCCCACCGACUCUUUUAUCAGCAAACCCCUUAAAAUCAUUUUCCCGCAUAUCAAUAUCAACAGAGUAAAAGGGUGAGCUAACCAUGGUGAGCCGGAUUAAGAUCUAAGGUAUGAUGUUGUCAUGUGAAAAAGAAUAUGAUGUAGCCCGCUGAUAUGAAAUUACAUCAGAUCGGUCGAGUAUGUAUUUUCUUCUUGUUGUUGAACAAUAUUCUAAAAUUAUGCAGGUUUGUUAUAUAGACCUCUAAACUCUCGAAAUGUAUUUUGGGUUCCUAAACUUUUCUCGGGUGUACUACGGAUCCAAAACGAAAAGAUGUUUUUAAAAUCUGUUUUUCCUAUGACUGAUAUGUGGGUCUCCCUGAUAUGUAUGUGCCAGUAUGGUUGCACGACGUUUUGAUCUGUAUAACACCCAAGAUAAAUUUAGAGACCCAAAAAUAUAUUUUAAAAGUUCAUGAACUUAGAUGUCACACUUGCAUAAGAGAGUGUCCGUACGUGUACUUCACUCUUAAAAUUACAAACAAUGACGAAUGAACUAGCAAACUAUUGGUGUCACCAAACCAAAUUUCAAAGCCUCCUUUUUAUAUUCGCCAUGAGGGCACGAGGCCAAACCAAACACUUUGCAGUUCUCGCGUGAACGAGUAAGAACUCAGAACGAGUGAUAUGGAAUCCAGCGAACAAUGCGCCCUCCUGCCUGAGGCUGAGCCGUCCACCGGCUCCAAAUCCGGUGGCCGCGGCGGGUGGCCGGCCGCGUUCUUCCUCCUCGGUAAGACGGUAACACUAUCUAGCUGAUCAAACACUGAGGCUUUUGGUUCUCUUUCUCACUUUCUGGUUUCUGCAAAUAUUGCGGUUUUCUUCGUGAUGAUCAAUGCAGCGGCUGUGUUCGCCGAGCGCGUCGGGUUCAACGGCGUGCAGGGCAACCUGAUCAUGUACCUCACCGGCCAGCUGGGCAUGUCCACGGCGGCGGCGGCCGCCGGCGUGAACGCGUGGGGAGGGACCGCGUUUAUGCUGCCACUACUCGGCGCGCUCGCCGCCGACUCGUGGAUCGGCCGGCCCCGCGCCGUCGUGGCCUCCGGCGUUCUCUAUCUCCUGGUUGGUGAAUCUCCUCUAACCUCUUCUGAAUUUUGAGCUCUAACAUUUCAUUUCAGUCACCAUGGUGAACAAAUUAUUUGGGGUUGGACAGAGCCUUGGCAUGCUGACGGUCUCAUCCAUGGUAGCACCACCACAAGCGACAAUGGUGUGCCAGGAUACAGCCGCCGUGUGCUCGUCGCCGGCGGCAGCACCGGCGGGCCGCGUGGCGUUCUGCUACGUCGCGCUGUACCUGCUUGCGCUCGGGCAGGGCUUCCACAGGCCGUGCGUGCAAGCCAUGGGCGCCGACCAGUUCUCGGAGAGCAACCCAGGCGGGCUCGCGUCGCGGAGCUCCUUCUUCAACUGGAUCAACUUCGCCGUGUCGUGUGGCUACGUUCUCUCAACCGCCGGGAUCAGCUACGUGCAGGACAACGUCAGCUGGGGCAUCGGGUUCGGCGCGUGCUGGGCCAUGAUGCUCGUGUCGUUGUUCGUCUUCUUGCUCGGCACGGGAACCUACCGCCCGGAGCAACCGCGAACGUUCGCCGAGACGCGUCGUGGCGACGCCAUGGACGACACGGCAAGGUGAGCUCGCUCGCGAAUGAUUUUGGAGAGGCUGCAAAUGCCAUCGCCAUUGACAUGUUCUACCGGCGCAGCUUGCCCACGCCGCCGAGAGGCCAUGGCGAUGACAAGGGGAUUGUCGCUAGGCUGCUUCCCAUAUGGAUGACCACCGUGAUGUACGCGGUGGUGUAAUCUCAGGUGGCCACCCUUUUCACAAAGCAGGGCAGCACCAUGGACCGGCGCAUCGUCAUCGGCACGGGCGGCGGCGGCGGCGUCCUACUCGUCCCGCCGGCGGCGCUGAAGAGCUUGGUCAGCUUCGCCGUCAUGGUCACCAUCCCGGCCUACGACCGCGCCCUGGUGCCGCUCGCGAGGCGCGUCACCAAGCACCCCUCCGGGAUCACGACGCUGCGGCGCGUCGGCACGGGCAUGGUCACGGCGUGCCUCGCCAUGGCCGUCGCGGCGCUGGUCGAGGCCGCGCGGCUCCGCGCCGCCAGGGACGCCGGCCUCCUGGACGAGCCGGGCGUCGCGGUGCCAAUGAGCGUGUGGUGGCUGGCGCCGCAGUUCGUCCUGCUCGGCGUCGCCACCACGUUCACCAUGGUCGGCCUCGAGGAGUUCUUCUACGACCAGGUGCCCGACGAGCUCCGCAGCGUCGGCGUGGCAGCGUGCAUGAGCGUCGUCGGCGUGGGGAGCUACGCGAGUGGCAUGCUCGUGUCGGCGACGAGGAGUAGGGGAGAGAGCUGGUUCUCCGACAAUCUCAACCGUGCUCACCUUGACUACUUCUACUGGCUUUUGGCCGGAAUUAGUGCUUUAGAUGUGCUGGUGUUCUUGUAUUUUGCAAAGGGUUAUGUCUACACUAAGAACAAAGUCUUAUCAGUUGAUAUUUAAUUGUAGAUGGAUCUUUUCGUCUCAAUGGCACAUCCCGCGCGCGCUAAUAAAUGUCAAAUGUUAUAGAAAUGAUGGAUGAAUUUAGGUUGAAAUAUUGUCUGGAAAUGAUGUGAGGAAUGAUAAUUUAGCUUGUUUAUAUAUAUAUGCUGAGUUGCAUAAUGUAAUUUCAUAUUAUAAGACUUUUUAGCAUUGCCCAUAUUCAUAUAGAUGUUAAUGAAUCUAGACAUGAGAGCGUGGAAAAUACUAGAAAAUCUUAAAAUAUGAAACAGAGAGAGUAAUAAAUUAUAGAUAUGUUACUAUGCUUGCAUAUUAACCUUUAGUGUUUAGCGGGUUGAUGUGACAUACUUGUAUUAGUUUUUAGGAUUACUAAUAAUUGCUAUAUGUUAAUCUUUAGAUACUUGAUGAGUUCAAAUGCUAAAGUUGAUGUUAUAAGAAUAGCAAUGAAAAAAAUACAAGCAGUUAUAAUCUAAUCAUGAAAUGCAACUUUAGUUUAUGUUUAACAAUAUCUGGAAUAAUAAUAUACAGUUUUUAUAGAAAGUGGUAUUGUCGGAUCAUAUUCAGAAGAACUUCCAAUUUAAUCAUGGGACCGACUUAUUUCAGGCGUGGCAGUUAAUUCUGAAUUUUAAAUUAAUCUGGGUUUUUUUUUUCUCGUAUUCUAUUUUUCGCUUUGUCUUUUGGAAUGGUAAGAGUAGAAGUACAAAAGUUUUAACACUACAGUAAAUUUUCCCUUUGUUCAUUCUGUUUUCAGCUUAUAAUUAAGCUGCAAGCCUGCAACCAUACUGGUGAAUUUUUCAUCAAACAAAACCAUAAUGGUGCAUUUCAAGCGUGUCCCAUUCAAUGGAAAAUUGGCCAUCAAAGUUCAUUUUUUUAAAAACCUCAUCAAAGUUUAAUUUAGAGAACCGUACAAGUAAGGAAAUGCAUCAACAUCGUAGAUUGUGAUUUGUGGUGGCCCAGUUUUUACUUUUUAGUACGAAGCUGGUAACCCCGAUGAACUUAUCUCUUUCUAUAAUCACUCUGUACUCUAUAUUAUCUUGAUUUUCUGAUCCCGACAUCUAGCCAUUAAUGGCGAGGACACAAUUGCACACACGACUCGCUGCAAAGCAAUAGGUGCACGAAAAUAUCUUGCUAAUUCCACACGUCAGCUAGGACAAGUGAGCAUCGCUUUUUGUCAAAAAAAUAUAUAGAUAUAUAUAGGUAUCCAAGCAUUUGUCCACAUCAAAGCAUUAGAGAGGGAGUGCCACAGUGUCACCGUGCUAGCCAUGGAGUCCGGUCUCCUUGCACAUUCCGACGAGCCAUGCGACGCCGGCUCCAAGCCCGACGCCGACGCCGACGGCCGCCGCGGCGGGUGGCGCGCCGCGCGCUUCCUCAUCGGUAAAUCUCGCCGACCUCUCGCCGUGCUCGCUCGCGAAUCGUUCUUACAACUGACAAGACCACGCUCGCCAUGGCUUUGCUGCUGCUGCUGCGUGUGCGUGCAGCCGUCGGGUUCCUGGAGCGCGUCGGGUUCAACGGCGUGCAGAGCAACCUGGUGAUGUACCUGGCCGGGCCGAUGGGCAUGUCGACGGCGGCGGCCGCCGCCGGCGCGAACGCGUGGGCCGGGACGGUGCUGGUGCUGACGCUCGUCGGCGCGCUUGCCGCCGACUCGCGCCUCGGGCGGUACCGGGCCAUCGUGGCCGCCGGCGUGCUCCACCUGCUGGUUAGUUAGUUCUCCUUGCUUUCCUUGCCCCUGUAGCUGUAACUGUAAUUAAGCCCGAGGUUCCCUGGAUGUUCUCGGGAGCUAGCACUGUCCGUGCUAGUGAAUUUGUUAGCUACCAAUACUUGCGAUUACUAUUUUUUUUAUACACCCGUUUUGUUAGCGUAGUAGUGUUGUUUGACCAUACCAGUCUGGUUGGCUUCGCAGCAGCGUUGUUUAUCACGUCUGUCAUGAGGAUAGCUAAAAGGUUUAGAUCUUAAUAAUAAUAUUUUUUUAAAAAAAUAAAAAGGUCCUCACGCGAGAUCUAGGCUGAGUCACGCAGGUGGUAUACAUUCGUACCCAAGUGGAGAGCUUUUACAGUGCUUGAAAGUGAGAGUAGGUACCUUUCUCUUACUGAAUUAUCUACCGUUAAUUUGAAAGGGUAUUUUCGGUACAGAAAAUAACAUAAGCGCAGCAAAUUAUUAAUAUUCUAAUUAUUCUUAACCAACAAACUACUCUAACUUUUCCCAUUUCAUUGUUAGUUGACGCUCAUCACUGGCCUUAUAUAUUCCCUCCAUGGCGAUCAAUCGCUUUUCAUCACUAAUUUUCAUUUAUAGUGCCAUAUAACGGUACUAAAUCUUUACCAAAAAAACAGUACAAAAUCUGAAAACAAUCUUUUCUUCCAUCUUAUAUAUACCUUCUUUUUUUUUACAGAAGGUAGAUGGUAGUUGAUUUUUUUUUUUACAGAACGGAUCAAUGCAAAGUUGAUUACUUAAUUAAUUCUAGUAUAUUAUUAUUUGAUUCUCUUCUUUGGUUAGUUACGUUAACGGGUUUCUACUUACAAAGUCUCACCAAGAUAUUAAAGCACAAAUUUGACGGAUUCCUAUUGACUAUUGUCAAGCAAAGUUACUGGGCUUUUCUCUCUAGUUUGUUUUGAAACUGACCCUCCACCUAAUUUAAAAGUUAAUACUUGGCCCACGAUUUUUAGUACCUUCUCUUAGCUACCUUUUGUUGCAGAUCGUUAGAUCACGGAGGAUCAACGGAUAUAGUGACUCCCAAGCAUAGAAAAAAAGUUUCAUAUUCGAAAUCAAAUAAUCAUAAAUUUAACUAAAUUUAUUAAUAAAACAAUAAUAUUUAUGAUGUAAAAUAUAAGUAGUUUGAAUUGGAAGUCGAUCCUGUGCCUUGUCCAGCCUCACGGCUUCAGAACUGAUGAUCUUCAGAUGCAGCAGAAUUAAAAAAGAUUGUCCCGGUUCUCAAGAUGGACACAUGGUAUCCGAUGGCUGUAAAUCGAAGAUCCAAGUCUGAGUGUCUGACACUAGCCUUGCCAAGUCCAAAGUCCGACAAUAUUUUUAUUGUUAUCGUACUAGUUGUUUUUAAUAUAACUCUGAGUAAAAAGAGAAAAUCAUAGGGGGUGUUUGGAUGUAAGGAUGUAAAAUUUUGGCAUGUCACAUCAGUUAUUAUAUAAGAUGUUGCAUAGGUUGUUCGGGCCCUAAUGAAAAAACUAAUUACAGAAUCCGUCAAUAAACCGCGAGACGAAUUUAUUCAGCCUAAUUAAUCCGUCAUUAGCAAAUGUUACUAUAGUCUGUAGCACCACAUUGUCAAAUCAUAGAGUAAUUAGGCUUAAAAGAUUCGUCUUGUAAAUUAGUUGCAAUCUGCAAUUAGUUAUUUUUUAGCCUAUAUUUAAUACUUCAUGCAGGUGUUCAAACGUUCGAUGUGACAGGGCGAAACAUUUUGAGAUGGGAUCUAAACAUGGCUAUAGUUUCAAUUGUGUUGCAUUGCAAUAUGGGACAUUUUGGAAUUAGGGCCAAAAUGAGUUUGAGCCCUUCAAUUUUUUAACAUCAUAUAAAUAUUGUGAAAGUUGGUUCAGUGACAUAUAAUAUUUUCUCAAAUAUAUAAAAAAAUUCACCAAAUUAGCACAUGCUCGAAGAGACAAGAAUAACUGUAAAUUAAUCUCUUACUUUAAAUUUCUAUUGGAAGCAUUCACCACCAACCAGGGUUUAUAAACCGUGCGGUAACAUUCUCAGUUUUUUAAUGGUAUAUCAAUGGUAUAUCUCGUGGUAACCGUUAAACCUUGAGGUAAUGGUAACUCCACCUCUAAACAGUUUGGUGAACCUUGCCACCAACACGAUGUUUUUAAUUUAUUAGCAACAGGAAGAAAUACUAGAAAAGUACUAUAGGCUAGAAACUUGGGAUAGUGAUGUGACUAAAAAAAGUUGAAUUCGCCAAAAGGGGAAAAACUGGAUGUAGGAGUAUCAUGCAUGAUAUUUUGGUGAUAUUUGCAAAACUAAAUUUGUAUACAGCUUUCAUAAAAAAGAUAAAGUGGUUGCCAUUUAGAUAUAUCUUCUUAUCGUUUGACACUCUACACUGAUUACCAAUUUUUUUUCAAAGACAACGAUUGCCAUUUAGAUAUGUCUCCUUUAUGAUUGGCAUUUAGAUAUGUUUUCGUAGUUCUCUGUCACAACUAAGAAAACCAUUUUUAUAAGCAGCUAAGUCAGCAUCCUAUCUUACUAUAAAGUUAUCCCCUACUAACUCUUUAAACUUAACGUGCAAAGAUACCACAUCAUCAUCCACUAACAAGAUGCCACAUCAUCAUCCACUAAUUAACAAGAUGCCACAUCAUCAUCCACUAACAAUCAUCUUUCAUUCAUCUCCGCAAAAAAAAAAAACAAUCAUCACAUUUAAACAUCAUGCAAACAUGCUAUAUUUUUAUAGUUUUUAGAAUUUAAGAGCUUUUCAAAAACAAACAUGUUAAAUUAUCAUCCAAUAAAAUUCACAUAAUAUUUAAAUGUAUAUCUUUAUUAUGUUUUAUGAUAUCCUAUAUACUUAUAUAGUUUAAGUAUAUAGUUCAUUCACUUAGUGCUUAAAUGAUUAAUCUAUGGUCCAAAUUAUCUUUCUCUUUUUUUUCCUCUAAUUAAGUCAUAUCACAUCAAUUGUUUUUAGCCUUUAGAUGAUUAAUCUACGGUCCAAACUAUCUCCCUACUUUUCUUCCUCCAUAAAGUCAUACCACCUUACUUUUUACGUUUAAAUCACCAUUCUACAUACUAUAUAAAUUUAAAUUAUCAUAAACCACAUUAAUUUACUUAAUCUGAUGUUAUUUAGUUAUCUUGCACAUUAUUUUUUUUAUUGUUAUCAUACUAAAUUUCCGCAGCAAUGCGCGGGGUUUCACCUAGUUAUCACAAUUGUUUAGCCAACCGCAUGCGACCAAACGCUUGUGUAAAUGUUGCAUUAAAGCAACCACAUUUGAAAAUGUAUUUCAACAUUUUUUUUAAAAAAAAAGAUUUUCUUAUACUAUGAAUCUAUAUACAAAGUCGCUGUACCAAAAGUACCGUGACCUACUUCAUCCGUCCUAAAAUUAUAGCAAUUUAGGAUGAGAUAAAACUUAGUACUAUAAAUUUGGACAGAUUGUCCGAUCUAAUCUUAGGUUGAGUCCCAUCUGAUCUUAGAUUGUUAUAUUUUGGGACGGAGGAAAUAAGUAUUACUCUAAUCAACCCGUAAAAACCAGGGUUUUAAAUCUCCUGCUAUAGCUGCGCUAUCUCCCACUAUAAUUGUUUGAGAAGAGUUCUAGCUAUUUGUUCUCAUGUAUAAUUUAGCCGCUAUACCUCCAUUUAGCCCACUAUAGUUGUGUUGACAGAAAACACGAGGCCUGGGAGAUCUGCUUAACUCCAGUGCAGGUCUAAAGCUCGCCUUCGAAUAUAUGAGCGUGCCAGUUGAUUUGAUCUGUAAUCAACAAGAAAAGAAGCAAAGAAACCGCAGUUAAAUCUAUAAAUGAUAGCCGAUCGGCUAGGUGCCGAUGACAUAUCAUUUAUCUUUGAGCCGAUGUCAUAUAUGCAUCGAUCGACAGUCAUUAAUAAAUAAGGAAGGACUGAAUCUACUCGAUCGGCUGCAGAUAUUACCAAUAUAUAAUCUUUAUAUCGAUAUAUACUUAAAUCAAGUGAUUGGGAUAGAUCGGUCACCAUGCCGAGACAGUAUAAAUCACUUAGAUCGAAAUAUAUAUUAAUAAUGAGACUAUAUACGUUCAUAGCAUAGCCGAUCAGAUAGAUCUAGCAUGUAUCGGCUAAUACUCCGAUACCACUCUAUAUUAAGAUAUUAAAGCAAGUAGAAUAUACUAAACAAAAGUCUAAUAUACUUAAAUGCAGCAAGAUCUUAACAUAAAGGGCAGAUUUAACAUGUCAAUCAAGCAUAUAGGAUAAAAAGUAGUUAAAUCAGGUAAGAUCGGCUGAAACUCCGAUACUACCUUGAUCAGCAACCAAGAAGCGUGCUAGAGAUUGAGAUUCUAAUCACGACUCAUAAGAUCAAACUUAACUGAUGCAGUUAUAAGUAUGAAAAGAAUGACAAUAUCUAGACAAUCAAGCCGUUGGAUGUGUCAUAGAGUGGUAGAUAUCCUAUAUAAUCUAAGUCAACACCGGUAUUUAACCUAAUCGGCUGCCUUCUAUUGACGAAUGUUAGCCGAUUGUAGGUUGGAUAUCGAUAUUGCCAAGGAUUAUGUAGGAUAUAUGAUAACUCGACGAAUUACAUAAACAAGAUUAGAGUGUCAUAAAGAUGGAAGCACUAAUCUCGAGAACGCAAGCCGCCAUAACAAGUUUUACCUCUUGUUGAAGAUCGAAACCGAUGCAGCUCAACCCGAAAGCAAGAACUCGUCGAAAUAAAACUAAAGCAAAAAAGGGUAGCGAUGCGCCAAGAUUGUAUUGAACGUGUGUGUUGAAAGUUACAUAGGGCUUGGGUCUAUGUAUACCCGAAAAUUACAAGAUAUGUCCAUAACAGACACGACAACUAUCUCUAACAAACUCUAAGAUACCAUAAGUCUUUGCGGCAGACUUUUGCCCAAACAUAUCUCUAAGGAAAUUACAUAAAACGUCCUAAUUAAUAGAUACAAUUGCCUUCUCAGGACUCUAUCCAUGUGCGGCAAUCACCUUGAAGCACCUCAAUUCAACCCGAUGUCAUACAUCAAGUUGCAUUGUCGGAAUCGGCUGCAUCGGCUUACCUAGCCCGACUCAGACCCAGCCGAUCCUAAUCGUAGCCGAUCUGGACUCCAGCCGAUUCCUGCCCUGUUUCCGAACUCGAUCUCCGCCUCCGACUUUGCUUCGAUCUAAUCUUCUUUCCCGAUGCCGAUAUUACCAAAUUUGGUUGUUAACAAGUUGUUUGAUAAGCUAACCGCUAAAUGUUUUAGCCCGCUAUUUAAAAUAUUGAUGA